ensembl:misc_RNA
ACAAGCUAAGAGAUACAAAGAGAAAAGUGUGACUGCUCUGACAGCAAAAACAAGCAAAUAUCUCCAGAGGGGAUUAAUCCCUCUGCUUCAAAGUAACCAAAACAAAGAAAGCUGAGCCAGCUUGGGAACAACACCUGUCCAUCAGACAAGGAUGAGCUAAU